CAAUAGCGUAUAUUAAAGUUGUUGCGGUUAAAAAGCUCGUAGUCGAUAUUCGGUUAAUUCUUGAUUUGUAUACUUAUGUAUGACAGAUUAUUAGAAUUAAUCUCCAAAUGUAACAUAUUAUGUUGCAUUUGUUUUACUUUGAGGAAAUUAGAGUGUUUCAAGCAAGCGUUUGCUUUGAAUACGAUAGCAUGGAAUAAUAAUAUAGGACUUUGGUUCUAUUUUAUUGGUUAUAAGAACUAAAGUAAUGAUUAAUGGAAACAGUCGGGGGCGAUUCGUAUUUAACUGUCAGAGGUGAAAUUCUUGGAUUUGUUAAAGACGCACAACUGCGAAAGCAUUUGUCAAGGAUGUCUUCAUUGAUCAAGAACGAAAGUUAGGGGA
rnacentral:rRNA from 1 species